CGCCUGGGGAGUGCGGCCGCAAGGUUAAAACUCAAAUGAAUUGACGGGGGCCCGCACAAGCGGUGGAGCAUGUGGUUUAAUUCGACGCAACGCGAAGAACCUUACCUGGCUUUGACAUGCAGAGAACUUUCCAGAGAUGGAUUGGUGCCUUCGGGAACUCUGACACAGGUGCUGCAUGGCCGUCGUCAGCUCGUGUCGUGAGAUGUUGGGUUAAGUCCCGUAACGAGCGCAACCCCUAUCCCUAGUUGCUAGCAGUUCGGCUGAGAACUCUAGGGAGACUGCCGGUGACAAACCGGAGGAAGGUGGGGAUGACGUCAGGUCAUCAUGGCCCUUACGGCCAGGGCUACACACGUGCUACAAUGGCGCGCACAGAGGGCUGCAAACCCGCGAGGGGGAGCCAAUCUCACAAAACGCGUCGUAGUCCGGAUCACAGUCUGCAACUCGACUGCGUGAAGUCGGAAUCGCUAGUAAUCGUGAAUCAGAAUGUCACGGUGAAUACGUUCCCGGGCCUUGUACACACCGCCCGUCACACCAUGGGAGUGGAUUGCACCAGAAGUGGUUAGUCUAACCUUCGGGAGGACGAUCACCACGGUGUGGUUCAUGACUGGGGUGAAGUCGUAACAAGGUAACCGUA
rnacentral:rRNA from 1 species